GGUCAAAUCAUGCUGAAAACACUGGUUCUCAUUCAAUCACCAAAGUUAAGCAGUGUCGAGCCUAGUCAGUACCUAGAUGGAGAGCUGCUUGGGAAUGCUGGAUACUGUA